ACUAACAGGAACCGACUGACCUAUCGACCGACCAACAAACAGACAAGACAGUCAGACAGGCAGACAGGCAGACAGGCAGCGAGCCAUGUGAGAGCUUUCAUCCAGUACAAUUACAAGAGGAGCCAUUCAGUACUUCAGUACCAAUAUUUAUGCAGGAUAAGCGCUAAGCAAGAACAUUCUGGUUAGAGACUUAUAGGAGUGCCAGAAAGACAGCAUGGAAUAGGAUAAGUAACUACGAAGGAUGGUGAUGGAUGGAUUGAUGCUUUAUUGUAAUAAAGAGGACAGUGCCGUAUCUUCUGUGACUUUGGAGAGCGAUCGAAAAUGAGAAGAAUAAUAACUACACACACAUCAAUUCCAUCCAGCGCCCCCCAGUCCCACUCCCUCUCUACCUCUCUCCCUUCAUCACACAUGUCAACUCUGGGGGACAUCAAGUCUGAACUUUUCUACCACUCCAGGUAGAGUUCUUAAAUCCAAGGGAUGGAGCGGACCUUACUGAUGAUGGAGCCCAUGUUAGCCCUGGGGAACUGGAGAGAAAGGGAGAAGAGUGGUGGAAGUAGAAGAGAAGAGGAGAAACUCCAUCCUACCUCCUCAGCGUGCUGCUCCAUGCAGUUGAAGGCGUCCUCAUUAGCGUCAACCAGCAGGAAGCCCUGGUUGUUGAAGUUGAGCCUGGCUCCUACAUACAGGUCCUGGGCACUGAAAUAACUGGGAUAUCUCACUCUUAAACAGCUCCUGACCAGGCUUCUUCACCCUGCCACGCUCCAGGAACAUACCCCCCCACUAACACACCUGGAGCAGGGGUGAGAGGGAGAGGAGGUGAGGUAAGGGAGAAGAGGAGCACAGAACGGCCGUUAGAAUAUGUGGAAGAAGCCAUCUCAACCUGUCCUUAGUAAAAUGUAGACACUUCCACUUGACUUCG